rnacentral:rRNA from 1 species
UGUCGUGUUAAUUCCGAUGAGGCCACACCUGUUCCCAUUCCGAACACAGAAGUUAAGC